rnacentral:lncRNA from 1 species
GGAGAGAUGGUGAGCCUGGGGUGGAGUACAUGUGUGAUUUGAGGGUACCAGGGGUCGGGGCUCUGAGUAAGAGUCUCCUUGGGAGAUGGAGUUGGGCUCUCCAAACCCAGAUCGCUCUCUCCACCGCUUGCAGACAGGUGACACGAGGCCUGACGUGGCUUUCUAAACCCGAGAGCCACUUCUAGUAAGCCCUCCGUGGUUCUAAAUGAAUGAGAGGUUUGGAGUGUAAACCGGCUGCUCCGACCCUCCGUUAGUGCUUGUACACGAGCCAUCUCGCCUGCUGAGCCUUUAUUUUUCUCCAGGCCACCGGGACAGACCAAGCAGUAGGAUUUGGCCUUGUCGCCGUUAGCUUGAUCAUCUUCACCUACUACACCACUUGGGUGAUUCUCUUGGUAUGUGUGCCCCACCCCCACCCCGCUCACCUUCAUUUUGCUCUGGAUCUCUAAGCCAGUUUCCUAACGCGACUUAAUCAGCGUCUGUGUGCCAGCGUCUGGAUGUUUAGCUAGCUCUAAUCUCACGAAAUCUACACUAUGGUGCUUGCAGAUGGUGUCUACAUUUUAUAGAUGAGGAGGCUAAGACUCGGGGAGAAGGCUGUUUCUCAGCCUCUGAACUGCCGCACAGUGAGGCUUUAUUUUGUGUUUGUCCUCCUGGUUAGCCAGCAGGUUCCUGGGUGUAGCAGUCGCCGGUGGAGUUUAUUAACAUCUCAAGUCUCUCUCUCUCUCUCUCUCUCUCUCUCUCUCUCUCUGCCUCUCUCUUUAAUGUGGGAAAUUUUGUUAGUUAUUGUUUUAAAGUACACUGUGCUUGGAAAGGGGCAUCUUGCAGUACUUGGUAUCCUUCAGAGAGGAAAGUUAGGUGGGCUGACCUUCGGUGAUGAAGAGAACUGGCUGAUUCUCCAGAGGACUGGGGUUCAAGUUCCAGCACCCACAUGGCCAGCUACAACCAUCUGUAACUCCAGCUCCAGGAGACCCAGCAAAAGUCCCUGGAACGGAACGCCAUUGCUGCUUAAGUUGUGUUAGGAGUUAGAUUGGAGAUCCAGGGCUUGGAUGAAAGUACACCUGGACUCACAGGCACAAAUGCAUGAUCAAAAAAUAAAGACCUCUUUAAAAGACCUAGAGUUCUCAGAAGGCAGAAGAAGGGGGGAGGGCAGCUUGGUGAGGUCAGCCAGGGCCUCAGAAAUCAAAAAGGAUGGUUUCCAGCACUCACAAGGCCCAGGCAGUAUUCAACAAUACAGAGACAAUAUGGUGGGUCUCUUGUUAUGAUACAUAUCCACGCUUGGGGAUGCUAUCAAGGUGGGCCCUCAGUAUCCAGUGCUGCCAGGGGGAGGUGGGACGGCUUCCCUUUGGGGCUGAGUAAGGUGAGCAGUACUCACCAGAGCUCUUGCCCUUGGUGCCAGCCAUUCAUUGACAGCCAGCAUGUCAUCCACAAAUACUUCCUGCCCCGCGCCUACGCCGUCCUCCUCCCGUUGGCCGCAGGCCUCCUGCUGCUCCUAUUUGUGGGUAAGUCUCCCGAUCUGGGGCAGGGUGUCUGGAAGGCAGCGUGCUUCCACAUGCUGGCACCUGCUGUACAUCUGCUUAGACUCUCCUUGUCACCAAUGCUCCCCGGGGCUUUCCUAUUCCUUAAAGGCCACGGGCAGAAGCUCCUCUAGUGGUGUUCCCAGUUUUCAGGUUCCUGGGGCAAUGAGGACAUGGCUCCCCUUUCUUUCCUGUCUCAGCUUCAUCUUCAUCUCUUCAAUGUUCCUGCCUCAAGUCACCCUGGCAUCUCUUACGGCUCUGUGGGUUGGGAACUGUGUCUUUGCUGUUACGCUAUUCUAAGCUCUAGCCCAGGAGCCUAAAAGAGUGCUUGGGUUGACUGAGGAACCACAUGGCCGGAUGAUGCACAGGUGGUUAGCCUUGCACCAUUUUGGUGAUAGUUAACUGACCCUCAGUGGCUGUGUGACCUAGUGAAUGACUGCAAAGAUGCACCCCUAGGGGGGUUGGUUGGGAGCCUGACCUUGCAUGCCUGGCCACCUAGCUUCCACUCCAAUCCUCCCAGUCCCUCCUAUUCUGUGUAUUACAGGAUUGUUCAUCACCUAUGUGAUGCUGAAGAGCCAGAAGAUAACCAAGAAGGCUCAGUGAAGGUCCAGCAGGGAUGAGGCUGUAGGGGCCUUCUCCAUAUCUCCUCCAGAAAAGGGACCAAGGGUCACAGCUUACAAGAUGGUCAAGCUGGCUGCACUGCAGCCCUCUUUGGGACAUGGGGCUGUUUUCUUCUCAGUUUGACAACCUGGAGCCCUCUCUCUCUUGGUCAUCCUUUUAGAAGCCAAGAGAAAGGUGGGUUGGGAAGCCUCUCACUUCCCUUAGGCUCAGAGGCUGAACAUUGCUGGUUGGUCCUGUCCAUCUCACAGUCAAAGCUCCCUGUCCCUUCCACCGAGUUCUCUCCUCUCACCUCUGUGCUCCUCCCACUGUGCUGAUGGAUUGAGCAGGCCUUCCCGCCUCUCUGUACAAGUCCUGUCCCGUCACAAGGCAGCUCUUCCGAGUCUGACACUUCCCAGGCUCCAUGAGGACUUCUGGACCCAGGAAGCCCUGGGGAAAGACUGACAAACCCCAGAACCACAGGGUUACAUCCAGGCAGCCACACUAGACCACAAUUGGCCUGUUUGGGAAAACUUACAAAUAAAUGUUAAUUGCGUUGGUGUUUGUCUCUCUGCCAUCCUUGCUCUGGGGAAACUGGCUAGAGGAGGCUCAGAUGCUACUGAGUUGUGCAAUGAGGGCACCUCAGGUUGUACAUUUGCGAUGUCCCUAUGUCAGACACAGGGUAAAACUGGAACUGGGAUAGAUAUGAUUCUUACUCGGGAAAUGUCACAGCGGAGAAUCAGAAGCCUGGCGCAUCUGCUAAGGCCUAGUGUAGCCCAGUCUGACAUUAAACUACAUAGCUGAGGGUGGCCUUGAACUUCUGAUCUUUUUGACUCUAUAUCCCCAAGGUUAAGAUACCACAUGUCAUGAGGGCUUUAUGCCUGCUAGGCAAGCACUCUUCCUAAGAUAUCUCCAGCUCCAGCCCCUCGAUUCAUAUUUAAGAGGCCCCUGGGAUGCCUCUCUAGAAGCUUAAGCUUGUGUCCCUUACCCUGGAUAUCUACCCCUAUCUGGCAUCCACACAGCCUGAAAGUGUAUCACUUCUCAGGCCCUCUCCAGCCCCUUCUCAGAUACAAAACCACCCACCUUCUCUUUUCCUCCCCGCUGACCUUUCCCUUCCACUCUGGGUUCCUUCAUCCUGAUGGCUUCCCAAAAAUACAUAUCAGGCUGGCUGUGGUAAUGGAUCCCUUUAAUCCCGGCAUUCAGGAUUUGGAGGCAGGGGGAUUUCUGUGAGCUCAAGGUCAGCCUGAUCUACACAGAGGAACACAAACAUGAAGAAAAAAGACAUAUGGACCUGGAGAGAUGUCUCAGCAGCUAUUUCAGAGGGCCAGAGUUCAGUCAGAGGUCGAAUUAAGUGACCACCACCCACAACUCUGGCACCAGAGGACACUUCUGGGUGCCACUGGCAUCCACACACAUAUGUGCCCAGACGUGUAUAUGUAUAAUUGUAAAGAUGAAUAGACCUUCUUAAGCCAGCAUAUCUAAGCAUCUUCUGCUCGUUUCUAGUUCUCUGGGUUAUUCCUCCCACUGUCCCAAGGCUCUGCGUGCUAGGGACUAUCAUUACUACAGCCACUGUGGUCUCUUGGGGCUCCGCGCUCCCACCCCCUACAUCAUUCCAAUCCACACAGUUCCCAAGUUUGUGCUGGGCACUGGGCAUGUGAGGUCCAUGUAGUCCCCACUCUGGUGGCACUCCCAAUUCAGGAGGUUUGAUGUAAUAAACCAAUCCAUGAGCAAGACAAUCUCUGCUCAUGCCAAGGGUGAUGGGAAUAAAGGCCAUGAUCCAGUGUAUGGAAGAAGUGCAUAGAGUCCUGAAAGGUGGUCCGAAGGAUCAAGGCAAGUAAAAAGUCCAGACAGGACUGAUACUUGGGAGCCCAGGAACGGGAAACCCUGGGGGUGGAAGUUUGCAGCUUGGGUUGAGGGCAAGGAGGGUGUUUGGAGUGAGUCAAGAGAGUGGUGACUCAUGCCAUGGUGAGGAGUUUGAAUUCUGUUCCACCGCCAAGAGACGUCACUGAAUACUUAAAGUAUAAGGGUGACAUCAUCCCAUCUAUGCUUUUAAAAGAUUAUGUUGUGUCCCUCUAGCUAGCUCACC